rnacentral:lncRNA from 1 species
CAGGAACUGAUUCAGAAUCCCGUAUCACAUUUUGUUAUUACUUUUGCCUGGUCUCCUGCUGUCUGGAACAGUUUUUCAGUCUUCCUUCAUUUUCAAGAGUGUGAAAGGAUCCCAAGACCAAAAGUCUGGGAACUGCUGGUUUACAGUCACAAUACUGACUGCUCAAAAUGACUUUUAAAGAAGAAAGCCUUAAAAACCCUUGAGUGAAUGGUUGGUAUUUACAGACAGAAACAAGAGACCCAGCCUGAAUCUGUUGAAUGAACGAAAGGGGAAAUGCCCUAAGGAGUCAGAUGGAAGAAGUUUUUCUGGGAAGAGCAGAACACAGGAGGUGGGGUGCAGACCUCCUGGAUCACCAGCAGAAGGAAAAGAGCAGCGAGACGUUAAAGUGAUUGAGACAAAAAUGGAAGUAAAACAGCUUAAGGCUUUCUGAGAUCGAGUUCCUAGCAGUGUCAUCAGCAGAUGGUUUCUUCUGAAGUUCAGGGGAAGAGAAGAUGCUCGAAGAACUCUCCAGGGACUGAGUGGGUGGUACAGAGCUAGUGCUGUAGAUGCCAUGUAUACAGGCAAAUUCCCCAAUGAGUGUUUUCCAAUAUCAAGUUUAACUGGCAUUUAAGAUAUAUGCCAAAGGUAGGUAAAUUAUUUUGGCCUGUGCUUAUAGGUUUAUUUCCCUGGAUGAAGCUUUCUGUCUCUGUCCUAGUGCACUGUAGCAGAUGCAGGGUCUUUCCAUACAAUACAUUAAAAGCUGCAUCCCAUUUUAAAUAUAUUAUAGAAACCCUGAUUGUACAAUACAUACAAGAUUUUUAAGAUCAGCCUUCAGUCGAUUUUUUUGCUUUAUUUUUGUUCUGGAGGUCAAAAUGAGUGGUUAACUGUCUAAGUUGAUUGUAGAGAAAGUUACUACUCAUUCUAAACGUAGGUUUUUAGAAAAAUGUACUUGGCAGUUGCUUCCAUUGGCUUUUUCCAACUUACAUGGGAAUCAAGAUUCAGAACUGGUACACCAAUGGGAAGAGCCUGGAAAAUAGACUAUUGAUCAAGAUGAAUCUGGUCCAGAUAAUUUAAGACCUUUUCAGUGUGUUUGAAAGAUUAUAAGUUUGAACCAGCAGAAACUUCAAUGCUGUUUUUUCACAAGUCAAUGUGUAGU